UACAGAGGGGGCAAGCGUUGUUCGGAAUUACUGGGCGUAAAGGGCGCGUAGGCGGAUCGUUAAGUCGGGGGUGAAAUCCUGGAGCUCAACUCCAGAACUGCCUUCGAUACUGGCGAUCUUGGAGUCCGGGAGAGGUGAGUGGAACUCCGAGUGUAGAGGUGAAAUUCGUAGAUAUUCGGAAGAAUACCAGUGGCGAAGGCGGCUCACUGGCCCGGUACUGACGCUGAGGUGCGAAAGCGUGGGGAGCAAACAGG
rnacentral:rRNA from 1 species